rnacentral:rRNA from 1 species
CCACCACCAAAGCAUUCUCUGGUGUUGAAGGCCCUGCAAAGCAGCAUCGCGGUGGCGGAGCGUCGUUUGCGACGCCCAACACACAAAACAAGCGGUGAAUGCUUUGGGGUGGGGUGACUGCGUACCUUUUGUAUAAUGGGUCAGCGACUUAUAUUCUGUAGCAAGGUUAACCGAAUAGGGGAGCCGGAGGGAAACCGAGUCUUAAUUGGGCGUUAAGUUGCAGGGUAUAGACCCGAAACCCGGUGAUCUAGCCAUGGGCAGGUUGAAGGUUGGGUAACACUAACUGGAGGACCGAACCGACUAAUGUUGAAAAAUUAGCGGAUGACCUGUGGCUGGGGGUGAAAGGCCAAUCAAACCGGGAGAUAGCUGGUUCUCCCCGAAAGCUAUUUAGGUAGCGCCUCGUGAAUUCAUCUCCGGGGGUAGAGCACUGUUUCGGCUAGGGGGCCAUCCCGGCUUACCAACCCGAUGCAAACUGCGAAUACCGGAGAAUGUUAUCACGGGAGACACACGGCGGGUGCUAACGUCCGUCGUGAAGAGGGAAACAACCCAGACCGCCAGCUAAGGUCCCAAAGUCAUGGUUAAGUGGGAAACGAUGUGGGAAGGCCCAGACAGCCAGGAUGUUGGCUUAGAAGCAGCCAUCAUUUAAAGAAAGCGUAAUAGCUCACUGGUCGAGUCGGCCUGCGCGGAAGAUGUAACGGGGCUAAACCAUGCACCGAAGCUGCGGCAGCGAACGUAUCACCCAAGACAACUUUACGGAGUUGACGAUUGACGGAGCGAAGCGACGUCAAAGCGUUCAUUAAAGUCGAGUUGGCUUAGGGAUACGUUCGUUGGGUAGGGGAGCGUUCUGUAAGCCUGUGAAGGUGUGUCGUGAGGCAUGCUGGAGGUAUCAGAAGUGCGAAUGCUGACAUAAGUAACGAUAAAGCGGGUGAAAAGCCCGCUCGCCGGAAGACCAAGGGUUCCUGUCCAACGUUAAUCGGGGCAGGGUGAGUCGACCCCUAAGGCGAGGCCGAAAGGCGUAGUCGAUGGGAAACGGGUUAAUAUUCCCGUACUUGGUGUUACUGCGAAGGGGGGACGGAGAAGGCUAUGUUGGCCGGGCGACGGUUGUCCCGGUUUAAGCGUGUAGGUGUGUGUUCCAGGUAAAUCCGGUUCACUUUAACACUGAGGCGUGACGACGAGGCACUACGGUGCUGAAGCAACAAAUGCCCUGCUUCCAGGAAAAGCCUCUAAGCAUCAGGUAACAUCAAAUCGUACCCCAAACCGACACAGGUGGUCAGGUAGAGAAUACCAAGGCGCUUGAGAGAACUCGGGUGAAGGAACUAGGCAAAAUGGUGCCGUAACUUCGGGAGAAGGCACGCUGACACGUAGGUGAAGUGAUUUACUCAUGGAGCUGAAGUCAGUCGAAGAUACCAGCUGGCUGCAACUGUUUAUUAAAAACACAGCACUGUGCAAACACGAAAGUGGACGUAUACGGUGUGACGCCUGCCCGGUGCCGGAA